UACAGAGACUGCAAGCGUUAUUCGGAUUCACUGGGCGUAAAGGGUGCGCAGGCGGCCAAGUGUGUGAGGCGUGAAAGCCCGGGGCUUAACCCCGGAAUUGCACCUCAAACUACUUGGCUAGAGCAUUGGAGAGGGUAGCAGAAUUCACGGUGUAGCAGUGAAAUGCGUAGAUAUCGUGAGGAAUACCAGAGGCGAAGGCGGCUACCUGGACAAUUGCUGACGCUCAGGCACGAAGGCCAGGGGAGCAAACGGG
rnacentral:rRNA from 1 species